rnacentral:rRNA from 1 species
UAAGCGACUAAGCGUACACGGUGGAUGCCCUGGCAGUCAGAGGCGAUGAAGGACGUGCUAAUCUGCGAUAAGCGUCGGUAAGGUGAUAUGAACCGUUAUAACCGGCGAUUUCCGAAUGGGGAAACCCAGUGUGUUUCGACACACUAUCAUUAACUGAAUCCAUAGGUUAAUGAGGCGAACCGGGGGAACUGAAACAUCUAAGUACCCCGAGGAAAAGAAAUCAACCGAGAUUCCCCCAGUAGCGGCGAGCGAACGGGGAGUAGCCCAGAGCCUGAAUCAGUGUGUGUGUUAGUGGAAGCGUCUGGAAAGGCGCGCGAUACAGGGUGACAGCCCCGUACACAAAAAUGCACAUGCUGUGAGCUCGAUGAGUAGGGCGGGACACGUGGUAUCCUGUCUGAAUAUGGGGGGACCAUCCUCCAAGGCUAAAUACUCCUGACUGACCGAUAGUGAACCAGUACCGUGAGGGAAAGGCGAAAAGAACCCCGGCGAGGGGAGUGAAAAAGAACCUGAAACCGUGUACGUACAAGCAGUGGGAGCACGCUUAGGCGUGUGACUGCGUACCUUUUGUAUAAUGGGUCAGCGACUUAUAUUCUGUAGCAAGGUUAACCGAAUAGGGGAGCCGAAGGGAAACCGAGUCUUAACUGGGCGUUAAGUUGCAGGGUAUAGACCCGAAACCCGGUGAUCUAGCCAUGGGCAGGUUGAAGGUUGGGUAACACUAACUGGAGGACCGAACCGACUAAUGUUGAAAAAUUAGCGGAUGACUUGUGGCUGGGGGUGAAAGGCCAAUCAAACCGGGAGAUAGCUGGUUCUCCCCGAAAGCUAUUUAGGUAGCGCCUCGUGAAUUCAUCUCCGGGGGUAGAGCACUGUUUCGGCAAGGGGGUCAUCCCGACUUACCAACCCGAUGCAAACUGCGAAUACCGGAGAAUGUUAUCACGGGAGACACACGGCGGGUGCUAACGUCCGUCGUGAAGAGGGAAACAACCCAGACCGCCAGCUAAGGUCCCAAAGUCAUGGUUAAGUGGGAAACGAUGUGGGAAGGCCCAGACAGCCAGGAUGUUGGCUUAGAAGCAGCCAUCAUUUAAAGAAAGCGUAAUAGCUCACUGGUCGAGUCGGCCUGCGCGGAAGAUGUAACGGGGCUAAACCAUGCACCGAAGCUGCGGCAGCGACGCUGAUGCGUUGUUGGGUAGGGGAGCGUUCUGUAAGCCUGCGAAGGUGUGCUGUGAGGCAUGCUGGAGGUAUCAGAAGUGCGAAUGCUGACAUAAGUAACGAUAAAGCGGGUGAAAAGCCCGCUCGCCGGAAGACCAAGGGUUCCUGUCCAACGUUAAUCGGGGCAGGGUGAGUCGACCCCUAAGGCGAGGCCGAAAGGCGUAGUCGAUGGGAAACAGGUUAAUAUUCCUGUACUUGGUGUUACUGCGAAGGGGGGACGGAGAAGGCUAUGUUGGCCGGGCGACGGUUGUCCCGGUUUAAGCGUGUAGGCUGGUUUUCCAGGCAAAUCCGGAAAAUCAAGGCUGAGGCGUGAUGACGAGGCACUACGGUGCUGAAGCAACAAAUGCCCUGCUUCCAGGAAAAGCCUCUAAGCAUCAGGUAACAUCAAAUCGUACCCCAAACCGACACAGGUGGUCAGGUAGAGAAUACCAAGGCGCUUGAGAGAACUCGGGUGAAGGAACUAGGCAAAAUGGUGCCGUAACUUCGGGAGAAGGCACGCUGAUAUGUAGGUGAAGCGACUUGCUCGUGGAGCUGAAAUCAGUCGAAGAUACCAGCUGGCUGCAACUGUUUAUUAAAAACACAGCACUGUGCAAACACGAAAGUGGACGUAUACGGUGUGACGCCUGCCCGGUGCCGGAAGGUUAAUUGAUGGGGUUAGCGCAAGCGAAGCUCUUGAUCGAAGCCCCGGUAAACGGCGGCCGUAACUAUAACGGUCCUAAGGUAGCGAAAUUCCUUGUCGGGUAAGUUCCGACCUGCACGAAUGGCGUAAUGAUGGCCAGGCUGUCUCCACCCGAGACUCAGUGAAAUUGAACUCGCUGUGAAGAUGCAGUGUACCCGCGGCAAGACGGAAAGACCCCGUGAACCUUUACUAUAGCUUGACACUGAACAUUGAGCCUUGAUGUGUAGGAUAGGUGGGAGGCUUAGAAGUGUGGACGCCAGUCUGCAUGGAGCCGACCUUGAAAUACCACCCUUUAAUGUUUGAUGUUCUAACGUUGACCCGUAAUCCGGGUUGCGGACAGUGUCUGGUGGGUAGUUUGACUGGGGCGGUCUCCUCCUAAAGAGUAACGGAGGAGCACGAAGGUUGGCUAAUCCUGGUCGGACAUCAGGAGGUUAGUGCAAUGGCAUAAGCCAGCUUGACUGCGAGCGUGACGGCGCGAGCAGGUGCGAAAGCAGGUCAUAGUGAUCCGGUGGUUCUGAAUGGAAGGGCCAUCGCUCAACGGAUAAAAGGUACUCCGGGGAUAACAGGCUGAUACCGCCCAAGAGUUCAUAUCGACGGCGGUGUUUGGCACCUCGAUGUCGGCUCAUCACAUCCUGGGGCUGAAGUAGGUCCCAAGGGUAUGGCUGUUCGCCAUUUAAAGUGGUACGCGAGCUGGGUUUAGAACGUCGUGAGACAGUUCGGUCCCUAUCUGCCGUGGGCGCUGGAGAACUGAGGGGGGCUGCUCCUAGUACGAGAGGACCGGAGUGGACGCAUCACUGGUGUUCGGGUUGUCAUGCCAAUGGCACUGCCCGGUAGCUAAAUGCGGAAGAGAUAAGUGCUGAAAGCAUCUAAGCACGAAACUUGCCCCGAGAUGAGUUCUCCCUGACCCUUUAAGGGUCCUGAAGGAACGUUGAAGACGACGACGUUGAUAGGCCGGGUGUGUAAGCGCAGCGAUGCGUUGAGCUAACCGGUACUAAUGAACCGUGAGGCUUAACCU